GGCAAGAGCGACACGCUGUUCUGUUGUGCCCUUGAGUGAUCAAACAGUUCCAAGAGCAAACAGGAGCUUCAGCUGCAGGAAUCAGAGGGCUUCAGGAGCCCAGCAGAGUGCAGAGAAGCCAGGGAGGGGUUUCUUAAGAUUGACGCCAUCACUGAGCCACAGACGUCAAAAUAUUGAAAAAAUUAUUAGAUUUGGUGCAAGUGCUGAGUUUGGAGAUGUGAGAUCUUGUCCUUAGGAAAGAGAUCAAAAUUAACAUGUCUUUGAAAGUCAUAGAGGGAUGAACACAAACAAAAGCCACCCAAACCUCCCAGCUUUGGAAAUACUGAUGAAUAUGGAACUAAACAAGGUCUUGUAAACACAAGCCAGAGCUCAUUUGAAUAGACAUGCUUUGCUCCAUGUGUAUAGGAAUUCCAAGGUGUUCUAAGUGAGGAAAUUUAGAGUUACUGAUGGAUGGGAACGUGUGGCUGAGAAAUAGGAGGUGAACAUCAAGGGGUACCAGCUGUUACCAGAAGCUGGAAGACUCUGGAAGCACAGAAGACACAGCCUCCCCUGGGGUUACAGAGGGAAGACAGCCCUGCCUAUACCGCGAUGAGGAUCUUCAUCAUGAAGAGAGCAGAAAGAAUGGAAGAGCCAGGAAUGGUCAAUGACAUCAAUGAAACACUAGUUCCAAGAGCAGCAGGGAGAAGAACUUACGAACUCAUGGGGAUUGUGAACAUACUCCACCCAGAAAAAAAUCCAGCCCAGAGCUGGGAAAGUUGGACAGGAAAUCCUACCACCAUCUGAGGAGCUACCGGCAUUUGAUUGUAGUUGGGAGAGUGAGAGUCAGGUUUUGUUUGUUUGUUUGUUUGUUUUGUUUUGUUUUAAUGAUGUGACCUCUCAAAGGUUGACUACAUACCAGGCCAGGGCCCACUCCUAAUACUAACUGGGCAACUCAGACGGGACUCAA